GACGAACGCUGGCGGCGUGCUUAAUACAUGCAAGUCGAGCGAGGCCUUGGAAUUGGAGUCCUUCGGGAUGAAGAGUCCUUGGCCUAGCGGCGGACGGGUGAGUAACGCGUGGGCAACCUACCCCAAAGUCCGGGAUAACAGUGGGAAACCGCUGCUAAUGCCGGAUGGCUUUUACCUGAGGGCAUCCUUGGGUAAAGAAAGGUUACGCUUUGGGAUGGGCCCGCGUCCCAUUAGCUAGUUGGUGGGGUAACGGCUCACCAAGGCCACGAUGGGUAGCCGGCCUGAGAGGGUGAACGGCCACACUGGGACUGAGACACGGCCCAGACUCCUACGGGAGGCAGCAGUAGGGAAUAUUGCGCAAUGGGCGAAGCCUGACGCAGCGACGCCGCGUGAGCGAAGAAGGCCUUCGGGUCGUAAAGCUCUGUCCUUGGGGAAGAAGGCGAAAGCUUGACGGUACCAAGAAGAAAGCCCCGGCUAACUACGUG
rnacentral:rRNA from 1 species